UACGUAGGGUGCAAGCGUUAAUCAGAAUUACUGGGCGUAAAGCGUGCGCAGGCGGUUUUGUAAGACUGUCGUGAAAUCCCCGGGCUCAACCUGGGAAUGGCGAUGGUGACUGCAAGGCUAGAGUUUGGCAGAGGGGGGUAGAAUUCCACGUGUAGCAGUGAAAUGCGUAGAGAUGUGGAGGAACACCGAUGGCGAAGGCAGCCCCCUGGGUCAAAACUGACGCUCAUGCACGAAAGCGUGGGGAGCAAACAGG
rnacentral:rRNA from 1 species